rnacentral:lncRNA from 12 species
UGCUGACUGUAUCAAGGUGAAAGGGGAUGAAGGUUCCAUUGCCAGUUGUGCCCCAAGGGUUCUUCAUGACUGUGGAUUUCUUUUCUUCUUUCAGUUCCAGCCAUAUCAGCAUACAGAAGCUUAGAGGAUGAACUGACCUUGUACAAACUUAGCCAACCUCAGCAAUCUCCUGCCAGAUGUGUGCUUCAUUAUUUAAGUGAUACCACACUGUCAGACUCC